rnacentral:lncRNA from 1 species
CUACUUCAAGAUUAUUGUAAGGAUAAGGAGUUAUGGAUAAAAAAAAUAUGAUGAAUCAUCUGCAGUGUCAUACAAUAACAGAACUCAAAUGACAAUAAAUUUAAAGUUCUACAGCCAUUGAAAGCAGCUUUAAGGCACUUUGAUUGUAAAAACACAAUUUGUAACUUGUAAAAAUAUUUGCUCGAUGUGGAAAAGGGGAAGAAAGACCAUGACAUUGGCUUAAAUCUGCGAAUUUUCAACAAUAUUUCAGAUGAAACCCCUUUAUUUCUCAUUCCUUUUUCAUAACUUCUUUUUUCUGGUAGUUCUGAAAUUAGAAGCAAAACCAUGUCUUAACAAUUUUACGCAGUAUAUACACAGAAUAUAAAAUGCGGCAUUGUCUCUUCCAAAUCAGUAAUUUUAGCUAGUUCAUAAAAAAAAACCAAACAAACCAGAACAACACCAUUUCAGCUCAAAAUUCCAGCAACCAUUCCUACUACAACAAGAGCUUAAUAGUGCUUAAAACAAAUUUAUAUUUGCACCCAGAUUUGUGCAUUGGUUCAAUGCAUAAGAGUAAUUCAAAGCAAAGUCAAAUCUAUAAUCAAUCAUUGGAGAACAUUUUCAAACACAUGAAUAAACUACUACAACUUUAUGACAAUAUAACAUGCAAAAUCAGUGCUUACAUGACUUAAAAGCUGAGUUCAUACCUUGGCAGUAGCGAAAAGAGCAGAAAUAAUCAGCGAGGAAUCAACGACAAAAAUUAAGCAAAUCCACGGCUCCAAAAGGGCUAUUAGAUACCCAUAAAGAAAAGAAAUCGAGCUUCGAAAUCAAUUCUUCUUCAAAUCUCCAUUGAAAAUUCAAGUUUUCUUUCCAUUUUAGCUUCUGCUUCUGAUUUGGGAUGCCAUUUUCGAAUCUAAAAAAAUUAUUUAUUUUAUUUUUUAAGAAGAAGAAGAAGUCGUUUAUGUGUGUGUGUGUGUCCCUUUUCAAUUAUUGAGAGAAGAUUUCUCAAAAAUCUGAAGGGGAAGGUGUUGGUUUCAGAAUGGGAGGGGAUCUGAUGUGUUUUUGUCUAGUCGAAUGAGAAGAAAGGAGACAUAGAGAGAAGGGGUGUCUGGCGUUGUGAUGGAGUCAAGAUGGAGGAGCGUUCAUUUCCUUCGUUCCUCUCUUGUGCCACUGCUAAAGGGAAAAUUAGGAAGGUCUUCUGAUGUUAGGUCUAGAGAUGGAAAAAAUCUUAUCCC